CACAUCUACAAACUGAUGAAAAGUGACAGCUACGCUCGAUUCUUACGCUCCAACAUUUACCAGGAUCUGCUGACGGCCAGGAAGAAACCUGAGACAGAGCAGGGACGCCGCACCUCCCUGGAGAAGUUCACUCGCAGUGUGGGCAAGUCGCUGACGGGCAAACGGCUGACGGGCCUCAUGCAGUCGUCCUGACACAGCCUGGACGACGAGUAGGAGGAAGCACGCCCGGAAGAGCUGCGUACACCUGGGGAGGAGGCGGAGCGAGAGUAGCCUGGGGCGUUUGGCUGUGGGAGGCCGGUGAGGGCACCACUGCCCAGACCGGAUUGGACCGCUACCACGCUUGAAACUCCCCUAAGAUUAGUUGAAGAGUACCCGACGGCAUGCAAUAAGUCACCUGACCUGACCCCCCCAGGACAGUGCUGUCACUGUGUAGAGGACAAAACUCUUCUUAGGAGGUUUCCACUCAAAAACACCUGCACCUUAGCAGGUUCUACUGUUUCACUCUAUCUAUCCACACUUGUGUUCAUAUGGUAGCUGAAGACGCUAUUGCUUUAUUUUCAGUGGUGUACAAAAACAAAAAAAAAAUGGAAUGCUUGAAUGCCUUGACUGAUGUCAACAAAAAAGAGACUUUAAAUUAACGCUGUAGCUGUUUUAUUUCACUGGGGGGAUGAUGUUAGAGUCGACUCAGUCACGCUGCUCGAUGACAUGACGGAGAAGUAACAAACAAACUUCUUCAUAAAUCUGUGAGACGACACGAGAUUAACCUCUGGGUGUUCAACGUGGGUUCAGUUUGUCAGAAAGUGACCGUAUGUUCUUGUUCUGAUUGCAGAGUGAAUACGGCUGCUUACAGACCUGCUCUGGUUCAGUAGAGGCCGCGGCUGAGACGCAGGUAAACAUCUGGCAGCAAAGCAGCAGCUGAUUUAUGCACACGACGGAGUGUGAGGGCCAAACUGAAGAGACAAAAAAAUGUAAUCUCUCCAGAAUAAAGUUGUCAUUUUAUAAAACUCACAAUAUUACGACCUUAUUCUCGAUAUAAAAACAAAAGUUUGGCCCUAAUACUCUGUCAUAAUACAGAGCCCUGGAAGAGGUUAUUUGGCAAGAUUUCACUCCAGUGUAGAUCACUUUGCAAUUUAAGUAAAAGCACACUGUAAUCCAUGCUCUCUGCAUUUAGCCUCCAUCCACCUGCCGUCCACACAACUGCACUUAGUUGCUCACUGAUUCUACCACAUCACAGCCUGUGUUGUGAUGACAUCGUCCUCUUUGCUUUAAGUAACCUCCUCAAAUGUCUGUCGCGGGUCAAACGCUGAUUUUAAAUCUUUGUAUUUGUGGCCAAUGUAAAAGUUAAACUCCAUUGGUUAUGUGUUCUCCAAAGAGUUUAUUUUUUUGUCUCUUCCAGGACUAUUUUCUGUCUUCAUCACCACAAAGUAUUGCAUCACUGUUUUUUUUUUAAAAAUACAAUCUAUUCUGUGCCGUUUGUCACAGUCAGUGUUGCCUCUGUGAGCUCACACUUUAUUAAUAGCCGGCUUUUCUCAGCAGCUGCACUGAAUAGACAGAGGUGUAAUCUUGUUGUCAUUAAAGGGACAGGUUGAUACUUUUUCCCCUAAAAUAACCAAACAACAAAAGGUGUUUUGCUUUAAACGAGUGAAUUUGAUUAUUCUAUCUUCUAAACAUUCCACUUCAGGCUGCUGCAGUCUGACCUCUACCCAUUCUUCACCUUAUGUAAAGACCAGGACCGUGAAAAUAAUAAAUGGAAAGUAAAAAAUAGGAAUGCACAAUGAA